rnacentral:tRNA from 1 species
CCGCCACUAGCUCAGCCGGACAGAGCCGAUAACCGGAGGUUGUAGGUGCGGGGUUCGAGGCCCCGGUGGCGGACCA